rnacentral:rRNA from 1 species
GAUGAACGCUGACAGAAUGCUUAACACAUGCAAGUCGAUGGGGAAGUGGUGCUUGCACCAUGGCAACCAUGGCGGACGGGUGAGUAACGCGUAAGGGACUUACCUGCAGGACUGGGAUAACAGGGGGAAACUCCUGACAAGACCGGAUAAUGUCAUGGAGCCGCAUGGCUUUAUGAUGAAAGGAGACGCCUGCGGAGAGCCUUGCGUCCUAUUAGCUAGUUGGUGAGGUAAUGGCUCACCAAGGCGAAGAUAGGUAGCCGGCCUGAGAGGGUGGACGGCCACAAGGGGACUGAGAUACGGCCCUUACUCCUACGGGAGGCAGCAGUGGGGAAUAUUGGACAAUGGGGGCAACCCUGAUCCAGCAAUUCUGUGUGCACGAAGAAGGUUUUCGGGUUGUAAAGUGCUUUCAGCAGGGAAGAAGUAAGUGACGGUACCUGCAGAAGAAGCGACGGCUAAAUACGUG